GUCUGGGUGGCUCAGUCAGUUGAGUGUCUGACUUUGGCUCAGGUCAUGAUCCUGUGGUUCAUGGGUUCAACCCCAGCCUCGGACU
rnacentral:tRNA from 1 species